rnacentral:lncRNA from 1 species
AAAGUAUGCAUACAUUACCUUAGAAAAUAUUUAAUUCGUUGAACUUAUGAAUUCGUGGUAAUCCUGUACCAAUAAAAUCCACGAAAAUUGGUAUCCAACGAAUUUUAAUGAAUCCACAGUAUAUUCAUUUUAAUUUCAAUGUAUGACUCUUUUGCAGAUGAUUCUACUUCAUAACAUGGACAAAGUGGAUAUAAAACCAGAAAGGAGUUAAUAAAUUACUUAGCCUGCAGAAUACUUCGUUCUACUUCAUAACAUGGACAAAGUGGAUAUAAAACCAGAAAGGAGUUAAUAAAUUACUUAGCCUGCAGGAUACUUCGUUUUACUUAUUCCUUGUCAAUAGUUUGAACCUUGCUUUUGAACAAUCAUCAAUGCAGAUGAAAGAGAUGAUGGUUAGAAAUAGCACCUAAAAAUGUUUCCUGGCCGUUGGAAAAUGAAUAUAUUUCCCAACUUUGUACUAUCAAGCUUGACCAUUAUUCUGUUCUUUAAAUAUAGCCAAUAAGUCGAAUAUGCUUUAAAUAAUAAUUUUGAAAUAAUUGAGUUUUAUAACAACAACAAAAUGUACUCAGACUUUUUUAUAACAGAAAAUCCUUCGUUCUAUCUUAAUCGGCAAACACGUACAUGACGCUCUGUUAUUACCUAAUUGUGCUAAACUAUGGGAGUUUUAUCAACUCAUUAGAUGUUUUCACUGGUCAAUUGAGACUGUUAAAAACAGGGAUUUUA